UAGGACCAUAUAGAUAUUCCUUUCAGUGG
rnacentral:piRNA from 1 species